rnacentral:rRNA from 1 species
UGGGGAAUCUUCCACAAUGGACGCAAGUCUGAUGGAGCAACGCCGCGUGAGUGAAGAAGGGUUUCGGCUCGUAAAGCUCUGUUGUUAAAGAAGAACGUGGGUAAGAGUAACUGUUUACCCAGUGACGGUAUUUAACCAGAAAGCCACGGCUAACUACGUGUCAG